UUGAAAAUCAUAUUUUCCUGUCCAAGAGACGUGAAUUUGAGAUAAAUAAACAAACGUUAUAUUUAAUUUAGCUACACAACGUUCGAAUGUAGCUGGUGGUUGUCACAUACAUUUGGCUCUGGUGAAAUGCGUGGUCUGGGGUGUCCUAAUCGAAGCGACAAUAAUAAGAGGUUUUACAUUUUCCUAAGGACCAGACUCGAAUAGAAGUGUGCCUUGCUGCCCUGCGAAAGACGGAGAAGUAGGAUUCAACAGAGGAGCACAUAUGUGAAAAACACUUUCUGACAGACCACAUAACGCCAYUUGGAAUAAGCGAUGAUGCCAUUCCUAUCAUGCCACCAUACCUCGACGGACCACUAAAUCUGAUCAGCCCGUGGGCGAGGAGGAAUUGGUGGAUGAUGAUGUUGCUACGGCUAAACACGGGAGGAUACGCUCAUGAUUACUUUGAUUGAUAGCUUUCUUAUCGCAUUGAUUGUAGUCGUUGUUUUUAGUAAUCCCUGUCUACAUAUAUUUUAUUUACAGAAUGUUGAUGUUGAAGAAGAAUAUGAUGAGCCAGGCCGAGACAGAACCAUCUGCAUCUAUGUAAGUCUAGGUCCUGUGAACUGGUUGAAGGCACAAAGACAAGACAAGUUUCAUGGACCUUAACCUCGUGGCAAAGAACCUCAACACAAGCAAACCGAGGGUCUAUGACCUCUAUGACCUCUGCCUGGAGGGGAUCAACCUUAUUCAGAAACAAUCUGCCAACAAGAUCAAGUGGUUAACGGCAUCUAGAUCCACCUGAAGGGAGGCAGGGGACCAAUCAAAGUGUUGACCUGUGAGCUGGGCGGGCCUCAGUGUGACACACAGGGAAGUAGAAAGACCAGACUUUCUAAUUUUGGAGGAGAGAUCAUGCUAACAGAUAACACAGAUAACAGCUGUGCUUUUCAAUCAAUCAAAUUCAUCAAUUGUUAAGCUUUAUUAGGUGCCCUAGAUAUUAAUUUAUCUGUAUGUAAAGUACAUUACUUCCUUGAGAUAUCCUACUCUGUAAGAAAGGGAUAUUAUGACAUGAUUGGAUUGGAACAUUGAAUGUGCUCCCCAAUAUGUUCACCAGAGGGAGCUGUUGACUAUAAAAUAGGUUUUCGAGAUGCUGUAUCAAAUGAGGUCAGCUACUUCACAAAAGAAAGGUAUUCUGCUAUUGUAAUUUUAGGAAGAGACCAUUUUUGUCCAUUUUUGUAAUAAUUUCUCUGUGUAAAAUCCCAAGGAUUAUAGCAAAAUUAAGGAAUGGAUGAAUGGAUUGUAAAAAUAUAACGUAGGUCAUUAAAUUGCACGCUUCAUUUUUAUACAUAUUUAGUUUUGAGUUAUCUGAAGUGAAUCAUCGUUUGAGGCCACAAUACACUACUACUGUAAUACUGUACAUUUUGAUCAUCUUGCAAAAUGUUAAAGUAUCAACGUGACCGGUAUUUUUCUCCCGCUCUGCUGGCGAGUAUUUUUCUCUGCUUAUACAUGACUAAUAAAGGCCUAGUGUACUAAUUUGGUAGAAACAAAAAUAUAUAUUAUUUGUAUUAGUAAUAUUAUGAUUUUUUAAUUGUGGUUAGGGUUGCACAUUU